UUGCUUUUCUCCUUUUCUAGUCACUGCUGAUCCUGCUGCUGACCAUCAAGGAACCUCAGAGCAAGAUGACUGGUGUGAUAACCCCAGCACCAUCCACAAGCGCUUGGAUACUAUCCAAGAGCACCUGGAAAAAACAGUUGAUCAUUUGGACUCCGAAGUCAAGUCACUGCUCAACGAUGUUAGUGAAACUGCGUGGACCAAGCCACUUGCUCCUGGGACGCCAUUGGUAGAUCUCUUUGGAGAUCCUAGUUGAGUUUCCAGACGAUGAACUGAAUAUCCAGAUGCUGAACUUUACAUCAUCAAGAGCCAGACUUCAAGUUGCCUUUUGCAUCAACCCUGAAAACCAAAGUGGUCUAUAAAAUGUUGAGAUGGACAGAAGCAUUGAGUAAACAUUUGUCAUGUCGGUACAAAAUGUGUCCGUAGGUGUAGUAGCACCGGCUAAUGUUUUCUAGUAGAUGAAGCGAAGUAGGAGUUGAUUAGCCCUUGAACAGGAGACCAAUAAAACUAGAUUGGGAAGUUGAAAAUUAAAAAAAAAGAAAAAUUCCCAAA